GGAAAGUAUUAUUGAUCCCUAUCCUGAGUGAGAAAUUUAUUGUGCCAAACUUCAUAACGUAAUUUAGCAACAGUGCCGCCAGCCGAGCUAGCUGCAAGUUACCAGUGAACAGUAACUUGCAGCUCCAAGCGGAUUUGUACGCAGCCUUACAACACUCUUUACAGCUCUUCGAGUCACGGUGGUGGAGGUGGAGGUGUCACUGUUUUCAGAGGGGAGGCCCACAUUGAUGGAGUUUGGGAACCCAUGGUCUACUGUACAAUCAAACACAGCAACUAUAGCCUACGAUUUUUAAACAAUUUCUAAAUUGCUGAACGACGCACAACUUGUCUUUAACUGCAGCGCACUCAAAUGCAUAGAAAAGGUUCUCAAACGAUGUCCGUCCAAAGAAGACUUCCUUCGAUAGUAUAUUUUCACCUCUUACUCUGCUUCGUUCUGUGUGAGGAGUAUGCGCCAAGGAACGUGAGAAUCUUAAUUCCAGAUGGUGACACCGACAACAUGGAAUACCAAUGUGUUGCCGAUGCCAACCCACCGCCGACUUAUUUAUGGAG